UACGUAGGAGGCGAGCGUUGUCCGGAGUUACUGGGCGUAAAGGGUGCGCAGGCGGCGGUGCGCGUGGCGAGAUGAAAUCUCCUGGCUUACCUGGGAGGGUGGUCGCCAGACGGCAUCGCUUGAGGGUCGGAGAGGGGCGUGGAAUUCCGGGUGGAGCGGUGAAAUGCGUAGAGAUCCGGAGGAACACCGACGGCGUAGGGCAGCGCC
rnacentral:rRNA from 1 species